UAAUAUAAUAGUGACUGCUGCGUUAAAAUUUUGAAUACGGGCCACGUGAAAUAACCGCGUGUUCUUGGCUAGUUCCUUGAGUAGAGAGAGAAUUUUACACUUCCCUCGUUCCCUCUAAGGCUAGUUCCAACAAAUUUAAGCUAGGCGCGCCACUAUACGGGCAGGUUUUAAAGACAACAAAAUAAUGCAUAGGGUUUCGUAUCUUUCCGUAUUUAUCAAUCAACGCUAUAACGGUGGACUUUCUUUCGUUUCUGUACGGAACGCUAGACUUAGAAAUUGCAAAUGGGACAAAGAAAGCUUCAAGAAUAUAUUAUGCGAUUAAUAAUAUGAUACUGGAAAAAAGGGAAAUCAGCCAGGAAACUAAAAUACAUGUAGGUAUAUAAUCACAGUACCAACUCUUCUAUAUGCAAGCGAGACAUGAGUUACCUACAAAUAAAAGACAUGAAAGUGCCAUAAAUGCAGCAGAAAUAAAGCAACUGAGCAAAAUAGCUGGAAAGAUGAAGCUGGACAGGGAAAGGAACGAAAACAUCAAAAAUGUGCUAAG
rnacentral:lncRNA from 1 species